AGGGCAAGUGACGAGAUGAGAUGAGUCGAGAGAUUUAAUUUUCUCUCCCCACGCAUGCAUGCGUCUGUGCUCCAAAGCCAAAGGUCAACCUAUAUGACAUCGCCAACGCUUCUUCCAAAAUUUUGCUGUAGCAAACUAAUGUGUCGGCAAGACAUCACUUUUCAGUGGCUCCGAUUUUUCUAAAUUACUUGAUUCAAUGCAAGAGGAACUUAUCUGGAAAAGAAUUUUUCUGUGGCUCACCGCUCACGAUACAAUGCAAGAGGAGGGAGAGCCAGCAAUUCCUUUUCUGUUCACACGCUAGCUAGCUAGGCAGAAGCUACAUUAUACUGCAUAUGUCAUCAUUUCUGCCAUCACACGCUAGCUAGCUAGGCAGAGAAGAGAACUUGCAGUGAGCAACAAUGGAGAGAUUUCUGGUGAGCGCGUCCACGGGUCAAUGAAGAGAACUUGCCUCCAUUGUUGGAUAUGGGGGGUUAGGAAAAACGACGCUUGCCAAACAAGUCUAUGACAAGCUUGGAACAAACUACGAAUGUCGGGCCUUUGUGUCAAUUUCACGUAGUCCUGAUAUGGUGAGGAUCCUGAGUUGAUCUAUAUUGGCUCAACUACGCAACCAGGAGUACGUUCACGCAGAUGCAGGGGAUGAACAACACAUCAUCUACCAAAUCAGAAACUUCCUAAGCAAUAAAAGGGUAUGAUGGAAAGGCACUGUAUUGCCGAGUCCAUGACACCGUCCUGGAUUUCCUCAUUUACAAAUCUACCGAAGAGAACUUCUGUACCUUGUUAAGCAAUAAUCCUAAGGGAGAUAGCAGAGUUCGACGGCUGUAUAUGAUGAGAAAUGAAGAUCAAGGAAAGGCCGAGUAAUUGGAUUUAUCACAUGCCCGAACAAUUGGUGUUUUUGGUGAUUCCCUGGAAUAUUUUCCUUCCCUUGUAAAGUCAAAUGCUCUUCGUGUGCUGGACAUAGCUUGUUGCCUUGGACUAGGAAAUCAUCAUGUCAAAGAUGUUGGAAAACUUUUUCAACUUAGGUACUUGAACAUCAGUUUGACAAAGAUAACCGAGCUUCCUAGAAAAAUCGGAGACUUGGAGUAUCUAGAGAAGCUAAAUGUGUCGAGCACGGUACUAGAGCUGCCAGAAUCAAUUACUCGGCUAAAACGACUAGCACGUCUGUUCAUUUCUGUGCGAAGUACAUUGCCGGAUGGUGUUGGAAAAUUGGAGAACUUGCAAGAGCUUGGGAAUAUAGACAUCUUUUUGCAAUCAGUGAAGUUUCAUGAAGAGCUCGGCAAACUAACAAAUCUGAGGAAGCUGCGCAUCCGUUGGGACACCAGUAAACUUGACCAAGAAAGUGACAAGGGAGAAAAGCUAGUGUCAAUCCCUCUGUAAAUUGGACACAUGCAAGCUUCGCAGCCUCUAUAUCACAGUUUUUCCGAGAGAGGAAGAUGGCAGUAUAGGACAUCCAUCCUUCCCUGCUCUCAAGAGCAUCCGAGUUAUUAACCUCUGCCGUGGACAACUCUGUUGGAUUACCCAAUGGCUGGUUUCCCUUGUCAACCUAGAAGAAUUAUCUGUCCUUGAUGGGAACAUAGAGCAGAAGGAUGUUGAGAUGGUUGGGAGGAUACCUACUCUGCUCCAAUUCAGACUGUUUUCUGGCUGCGUAUGGCCCGUCAUCAUCACCGGCAGUGGCAGCUUUCAACAGUUACAGCUAGCUGAGUUUGAGUUUAAUUUGUGUGGAUUAGAAGGUACUAGGAUGAUGUAUUAAAAAGACUGCAGACUUCGUGUUUUCCACUCUAAGCAGAGAUCCGUCGCUGCUCUGUGCGAGCUGUCCUAGACGAGCUUCGUUCCUGGCAGAUUGCUAGAUGUAAAGCAGUCGCCUUCUUUAGAUAAUUGAACGCUGUUGGUUUCACAGGGUUCGCCCUCCUGAAUGUUAUCGUCCUUUCUUUCCCAUGUAUCGAUUGUAAAUAACUUUUUUUCCCCUUUUAAUA